UACGUAGGUGGCAAGCGUUUGUCCGGAUUUAUUGGGUUUAAAGGGUGCGUAGGCGGUUUUGUAAGUCAGUGGUGAAAUACUCUAGCUUAACUAGAGGGGUGCCAAUGAUACUGCGGAACUUGAGUACAGAUGAGGUAGGCGGAAUUGACGGUGUAGCGGUGAAAUGCAUAGAUAUCGUCAAGAACACCGAUAGCGAAGGCAGGUUACUACUAAUGGAUUGACGCUGAUGGACGAAAGCGUGGGUAGCGAACAGG
rnacentral:rRNA from 1 species